UGAGGAAUAUUGGUCAAUGGUCGCAAGACUGAACCAGCCAUGCCGCGUGCAGGAAGACGGUCCUAUGGAUUGUAAACUGCUUUUAUACAGGAAGAAACCCUCCCACGUGUGGGAGCUUGACGGUACUGUAGGAAUAAGGAUCGGCUAACUCCGUGCCAGCAGCCGCGGUAAUACGGAGGAUCCAAGCGUUAUCCGGAAUCAUUGGGUUUAAAGGGUCCGUAGGCGGUCUUAUAAGUCAGUGGUGAAAGCCCAUCGCUCAACAAUGGAACUGCCAUUGAUACUGUAAGACUUGAAUGCUUAGGAAGUAACUAGAAUAUGUAGUGUAGCGGUGAAAUGCUUAGAUAUUACAUGGAAUACCAAUUGCGAAGGCAGGUUACUACUAAGUGAUUGACGCUGAUGGACGAAAGCGUGGGGAGCGAACAGGAUUAGAUACCCUGGUAGUCCACGCCGUAAACGAUGGAUACUAGCUGUUCGGCGCAAGUUGAGUGGCUAAGCGAAAGUGAUAAGUAUCCCACCUGGGGAGUACGCACGCAAGUGUGAAACUUAAAUGAAUUGACGGGGUCAUAGCUGUUUCCUG
rnacentral:rRNA from 1 species